rnacentral:lncRNA from 1 species
AUCAAGAAAAGAACAAAUUAUGGUGCAAACAAAUACACAAUGGCAACUAAAGUUACCUCUGAAGUUACCACUGGCAAACCUCAUUUUGAAACCACUGGCAAACCUCAUUUUGAAACUGCAACCGGCAAAAACUGUACUGCAGAAUACUCCAGCAGCCAUAGCUGAAGCUCUCUUUGUGAAGAAUAUAAUUUACUAAUACCUGACGGAAAGAUCCACAAGGAACCUAGCUACAAGAAUGGACAAGAAUCUACUUUGUAUAGGUAUUGUACAUAGCUAAUCACGGACUACUUUGUCUGGAAACUUUGUAUAGCUGCAUUUUUUUUUCUGAGUAGACCCCCUUUACUAGGACAUGUGAUUCUUUGGUAACACACUACAUAUAUAAAGAAGAAGAUUCUGGCCAUCCAUGGGAAAAACGAC